AAUAUAGUGCCUGAUAAAAAGGAUAGCUUUGAUAGAGCUAAUCAUGUAAGCUAACUUACCUAUAUUA
rnacentral:tRNA from 1 species